rnacentral:rRNA from 1 species
AACGUAGGAGACGAGCGUUAUCCGGAUUUACUGGGCGUAAAGCGCGUGCAGGCGGCACGGAAAGUUGGAUGUGAAAGCUCCCGGCUUAACUGGGAGAGGUCGUUCAAAACUACCGAGCUAGAGUAUGGGAGAGGGAAGCGGAAUUCCGGGUGUAGUGGUGAAAUGCGUAGAUAUCCGGAGGAACACCAGUGGCGAAAGCGGCUUCCUGGCCCGAGACUGACGCUCAGACGCGAAAGCUAGGGUAG